rnacentral:rRNA from 1 species
AGUGAACGCUGGCGGUAGGCCUAACACAUGCAAGUCGAACGGCAGCACAGUAAGAGCUUGCUCUUACGGGUGGCGAGUGGCGGACGGGUGAGGAAUACAUCGGAAUCUACUUUUUCGUGGGGGAUAACGUAGGGAAACUUACGCUAAUACCGCAUACGACCUACGGGUGAAAGCAGUGGAUCUUCGGACCUUGCGCGAUUGAAUGAGCCGAUGUCGGAUUAGCUAGUUGGCGGGGUAAAGGCCCACCAAGGCGACGAUCCGUAGCUGGUCUGAGAGGAUGAUCAGCCACACUGGAACUGAGACACGGUCCAGACUCCUACGGGAGGCAGCAGUGGGGAAUAUUGGACAAUGGGCGCAAGCCUGAUCCAGCCAUACCGCGUGGGUGAAGAAGGCCUUCGGGUUGUAAAGCCCUUUUGUUGGGAAAGAAAAGCAGUAGGUUAAUACCCCGCUGUUCGGACGGUACCCAAAGAAUAAGCACCGGCUAACUUCGU